CAGUCGCCGCGGUAAGACGGAGGGUGCUAGCGUUGUUCGGAAUCACUGGGCGUAAAGGGCGCGUAGGCGGCCUGUUAAGUCGGAUGUGAAAGCCCGGGGCUCAACCCCGGAACUGCAUCCGAGACUGGCAGGCUUGAGACCGGGAGAGGAGGGUGGAAUAUCCAGUGUAGAGGUGAAAUUCGUAGAUAUUGGAUGGAACACCGGUGGCGAAAGCGGCUCUCUGGCCCGGAUCUGACGCUGAGGCGCGAAAGCGUGGGGAGCAAACAGGAUUAGAUACCCCAGUAGUCCCUGUCUCUUAUAC
rnacentral:rRNA from 1 species